CGCGCAUCACCACGCCCAGCUAAUUUUUUGUAUUUUUAGUAGAGACGGGGUUUCACCGUGUUAGCCAGGAUGGUCUCGAUCUUCUGACCUCGUGAUCCACCCGCCUCGGCCUCCCAAAGUGCUGGGGUUACAGGUGUGAGCCACUGCGCCCGGCCCUAAACUUUUUUUCUUUAUUGCAAUCCACGGUCUGAAUGUGUGCAGCGGGCAGGAAGAACCCCUUGGGCCGUUACAGGUUGAACUGUGCCCCCCAAAAAACAAUGGACUGAAGACCCCAGCACCUCAGAGAGCAUCCUUAACAAACAGGGGCUCUCAGAAGCAGCAGGCGUGGGCCCUGACCCAGAGGAGCAGGAGUCCGCAGAAGAGAAAGCUGAUGCAGAAGACUUGCAGGGCCAUUGCUGUGCAGAGCACAGGGAGGCAGGCAAGGCACCUGGCAGGGAGGAGGCGUCCGCACCUGAGGGCCCUUGCCUGCGCCUUCAUCUGAGACUCCGGCCUCCAGAGCCUAGACUGUGAAUUCCCGCUGCUUCAGGCUGCACAGCUCGCGCUGCUUUGUUGCGGCAGCUCCAGGAAGCUAAGGCGGACUUGACUGAAAUAUACGGGUGCCUGGGUAUUCAGCCUCAGGGCUUCAAGCAGGGCUGUGGCUAAAGACAUGGCAGAGAGCCAACAGCUCAGACCACCACAGAGACAGAGGCGCAGAAAAGGCUGGCCAGGAAGGCAGCAGGGCAUUCCAAAAGGGCCUCAACCACACACCUCUGCGGGGGAGGGAGAGUGACCAGGUGCGCAUCCCAACACACCACACUCCAAACAAGCUUUAGAAGCAGCCCCACAUUGCAGCCAUCUGGAUGUCCUCACAGGACGUCUUAGAUACCUGGCUACGAAGACCAAGAAGUCGGGGCCACGGAACGGGAAAGAUGACCAGAGGAUUGGGUAUCAGGUGAGAGGGAAGCAGUGGUGGGGCCCGUCCCACCCUCACGGUGCCACCUGCUGGGGUGAGGCCUGGAGGAGCUGCCACAUGCAAACCUAGAACCUGCACCGCCCCCUUCCCCAGCGUGGUGUCUCACAGGUGGGAGGCCCUGGGCGCUUCUUUCAGUGCACUUUUCUGAUGAAUGACUGCCAAACAAAGCAGCCCUGCUGGUCAGGGGCAACAUGGCCACACCCCUGGAUGCAGGUAAAGGGGACCCCUGCACUCCGUGCUCAUCCUCAGACUCUAUCUGAAAGCAGGCUGCCUGAGGGCACUCGGGGCUCCAGGCCUGAAGACUGCCCCAAACCCCAACCUGCUGACCCGCCAUCUCUAGGGACACAUAUGUCCCCCUCCCUGGCAGCUUUCACCUACUCAGCAAAAAAUGUCCCCAACCUUUGCAGCAGCUAAGGGGGCUUCUCAGGGCCUGAUGUGGGCACAUGCAGUUCUCUAAGCUCCAGGAAAUCCUGCGGAGUUUGUUGAUCUCACCCUGGCUGGCCAGCCCCCUCCACCAUCUGCAGCAGGCCUGCUGAACAUGCCCUGUGGAUUCUUCUGGGCAGAAGCUCACUGCUGAGCUCCCAGCCACUUCAUGCAUAAAUCAGGCAAGAACUAACCAAUGUCAGGGGCGAGAGCAUCCUACUCCCCAUAAAACAGCGGGCAGCUGACUUAGCAACCCCACCACUCCUGCCGCAAGACAAGGACAGAGUCUCACUCAUACUCCCUGCUGGACUCAGGAAGGUCUGAGCUCACCCGCUCCUCAGAAGGGCCCACCAGGAACAAGGGUCCUCCUGCCUCACCCACAAGGACUCGGCUCCACUCAAAAUGACCUCACCCUAAGCAGCACAAGAGGGAGGCGGAGCAGAGAAUGUCCGAGAGGCCAGAUGAUUCCACCCCUUUACUUUGCCUUUGUGGACACAACUCCCGUGCAGGCCGCGCUCCACGGGGCUCCC
rnacentral:lncRNA from 10 species